AAAAAGGCACAUGUACUCAAGGUUUAAUUCAUGCAUCAAUAAAAAAUAUUCCCCUACACUACAACAGAAUUAGAUUAUAGGGACACAUAUUUGGGACACUUUUGAGUAAGUGUUCCAUUUAUGCUAAAACUUAAAAACACAUCUACUAAUGUCUAAAUAUAAAGCCCAAUCCAACCAGAAAUAAAAGAUUACUUUACUCAACCCACCACACCCAGUCCAUUUGGCCUGAUUACAAACAGAAAAGAAAAAAAAAAAAAGAAAAAUCAAUUAUCAUCUUUUCUUCUCUCUUCACUCAAUCCACUGAAAUUCUAGACAAAGAGCCCUUACUGUCGUCCUCCUCCGCCACCGCAGCCAACAAGAUAGAGUUUCAGCGGUUGCUAAAUGCUUAAAUAAGUGUUGGUAAAUUAGCAGCACUCUUUUAGGUUAUAACGACACUUUUUAACUGUCACUAUAUACCUAGCGACCCUACAUAUAGCAACACUUUUUAAAAGUGUCGGUAAUUUUAGCUAGCAGCACUUUUUUGACAUAUACCUAUAUUUAAAAGUGUCGUUAUAGACCGUUUUUGUUGUAAUGCUAAUUCUUAAUGUCAGCUUUGCUUUCUCAUUGGUCUGUGAGCAACUGCACUUCUUAUCUCCAACAGUGUCUUUUUUCUUCAUUUUAAAAAAAAAUGAAUACAAAUAGAAAUAUGAAUUUACUAAGCUUUAAACUUGGGAUCUCGGGUUCCAACCAUCAAAUCCCUGAACAAAUUGAGAUGGUUUUC
rnacentral:lncRNA from 1 species